rnacentral:rRNA from 1 species
GUGGCGAACGGGUGAGUAACACGUGAGUAACCUGCCCUUGACUCUGGGAUAAGCGUUGGAAACGACGUCUAAUACCGGAUACGAGCUUCAGCCGCAUGGCUAGGAGCUGGAAAGAAUUUUGGUCAAGGAUGGACUCGCGGCCUAUCAGCUAGUUGGUGAGGUAACGGCCCACCAAGGCGACGACGGGUAGCCGGCCUGAGAGGGUGACCGGCCACACUGGGACUGAGACACGGCCCAGACUCCUACGGGAGGCAGCAGUGGGGAAUAUUGCACAAUGGGCGCAAGCCUGAUGCAGCAACGCCGCGUGAGGGACGACGGCCUUCGGGUUGUAAACCUCUUUUAGUAGGGAAGAAGCGAAAGUGACGGUACCUGCAGAAAAAGCACCGGCUAACUACGUGCCAGCAGCCGCGGUAAUACGUAGGGUGCAAGCGUUAUCCGGAAUUAUUGGGCGUAAAGAGCUCGUAGGCGGUUUGUCGCGUCUGCUGUGAAAACUGGAGGCUCAACCUCCAGCCUGCAGUGGGUACGGGCAGACUAGAGUGCGGUAGGGGAGAUUGGAAUUCCUGGUGUAGCGGUGGAAU